AGUCGAGCGGAGUUAUGAGGGAGCUUGCUCCCGAUUAACUUAGCGGCGGACGGGUGAGUAACACGUAGGCAACCUACCCUCUAGACUGGGAUAACUACCGGAAACGGUAGCUAAUACCGGAUAAUUCCUUUACCCUCCUGGGUUUGGGAUGAAAGGCGGAGCAAUCUGCUACUAAAGGAUGGGCCUGCGGCGCAUUAGCUAGUUGGUGGGGUAACGGCCUACCAAGGCGACGAUGCGUAGCCGACCUGAGAGGGUGAACGGCCACACUGGGACUGAGACACGGCCCAGACUCCUACGGGAGGCAGCAGU
rnacentral:rRNA from 1 species